GACGAACGCUGGCGGCGUGCUUAACACAUGCAAGUCGAGCGGAAAGGCCCUUCGGGGUACUCGAGCGGCGAACGGGUGAGUAACACGUGAGUAAUCUGCCCUUCACUCUGGGAUAGCCACCGGAAACGGUGAUUAAUACCGGAUACGACCACCGUGGGCAUCCACUGGUGGUGGAAACUUUUUUGGGUGGGGGAUGUGCUCGCGGCCUAUCAGCUUGUUGGUGGGGUAAUGGCCUACCAAGGCUUCGACGGGUAGCCGGCCUGAGAGGGUGACCGGCCACACUGGGACUGAGACACGGCCCAGACUCCUACGGGAGGCAGCAGUGGGGCAUAUUGGACAAUGGGCGGAAGCCUGAUCCAGCAACGCCGCGUGAGGGAUGACGGCCUUCGGGUUGUAAACCUCUUUCAGCACCGACGAAGCGCAAGUGACGGUAGGUGCAGAAGAAGGACCGGCCAACUACGUGCCAGCCGCCGCCGUAACAC
rnacentral:rRNA from 1 species